rnacentral:rRNA from 1 species
ACCGGCAAACGGGUGCGGAACACGUACGCAACCUCCCUCUAACUGGAAGAUAGCCCACCGAAAGGUGGAUUAAUACUCCAUAAUAUAUUGAAGUGGCAUCACUUUAAUAUUAAAGCUCCGGCGGUAAGAGAUGGGCGUGCGUCUGAUUAGGUAGUUGGCGGGGUAACGGCCCACCAAGCCUGCGAUCAGUAGCUGAUGUGAGAGCAUGAUCAGCCACACGGGCACUGAGACACGGGCCCGACUCCUACGGGAGGCAGCAGUAAGGAAUAUUGGUCAAUGGACGCAAGUCUGAACCAGCCAUGCCGCGUGGAGGAUGAAGGUCCUCUGGAUUGUAAACUUCUUUUCUCUGGGACGAAACCCCCGAUUUCCAUCGGGCCUGACGGUACCAGAGGAAUAAGCACCGGCUAACUCCGUGCCAGCAGCCGCGGUAAUACGGAGGGUGCAAGCGUUAUCCGGAUUCACUGGGUUUAAAGGGUGCGUAGGCGGGUUUGUAAGUCAGUGGUGAAAUCCCCGAGCUUAACUUGGGAACUGCCAUUGAUACUGCAGAUCUUGAAUUUUCUGGAGGUAAGCGGAAUAUGUCAUGUAGCGGUGAAAUGCUUAGAUAUGACAUAGAACACCCAUUGCGAAGGCAGCUUACUACGGGAAUAUUGACGCUGAGGCACGAAAGCGUGGGGAUCAAACAGGAUUAGAUACCCUGGUA